CAUCACCGGCGGACGGGUGCGUAACGCGUGGGAAUAUACCUAUUGGUUCGGAACAACUGCGGGAAACUGCAGCUAAUACCGAAUGUGCCCGCAAGGGGAAAGAUUUAUCGCCAAUGGAUUAGCCCGCGUAGGAUUAGCUAGUUGGUGGGGUAAUGGCCCACCAAGGCUCCGAUCCUUAGCUGUUCUGAGAGGAAGAUCAGCCACACUGGGACUGAGACACGGCCCAG
rnacentral:rRNA from 1 species